UGCGUAGGUGGUUAGGUAAGACCUGUGGGAAAGACCUGGGCUUAACCCAGGAAGGUCGCAGGUGACUGCCUGGCUAGAGGGCGGGAGAGGAGCGCGGAAUUCCCGGUGUAGCGGUGAAAUGCGUAGAGAUCGGGAGGAAGGCCGGUGGCGAAGGCGGCGCUCUGGAACGUUCCUGACACUGAGGCACGAAGGCGUGGGGAGCAAACAGGAUUAGAUACCCUGGUAGUCCACGCCCUAAACGAUGGGUACUAAGUGUCGGCGGGUUACCGCCGGUGCCGCACCUAACGGAGUAAGUACCCCGCCUGGGGAGUACGGCCGCAAGGUUGAA
rnacentral:rRNA from 1 species